rnacentral:rRNA from 1 species
AGGCGCAGCUGAUCCAUUCAAUGCCGCGUGCAGGAAGAAGGCCUUCGGGUUGUAAACUGCUUUUGUCAGGGAAGAAAUCCUCUGGGUUAAUACCUCGGGGGGAUGACGGUACCUGAAGAAUAAGCACCGGCUAACUACGUGCCAGCAGCCGCGGUAAUACGUAGGGUGCGAGCGUUAAUCGGAAUUACUGGGCGUAAAGCGUGCGCAGGCGGUUAUGCAAGACAGAGGUGAAAUCCCCGGGCUCAACCUGGGAACUGCCUUUGUGACUGCAUAGCUAGAGUACGGUAGAGGGGGAUGGAAUUCCGCGUGUAGCAGUGAAAUGCGUAGAUAUGCGGAGGAACACCGAUGGCGAGGGCAAUCCCCUGGACCUGUACUGACGCUCAUGCACGAAAGCGUGGGGAGCAAACAGGAUUAGAUACCCUGGUAGUCCACGCCCUAAACGAUGUCAACUGGUUGUUGGACGGCUUGCUGUUCAGUAACGAAGCUAACGCGUGAAGUUGACCGCCUGGGGA